AAACCUGUACAGGAGGAACCUGAGGAACUCUCCGAUAGUGACUUUGAAAGUCCUGUGGGCUGGAGAAGGAGAGUUCAUACAGUGUCACCUUCCACAAGUGAAAGUGAGCUCAUCAGUCAAGGGAGUGAAAAUGACAGACUGCAAGAAAGUC